GUGCUCACUUGACAACACAUAUACUGAAAAUGGAAUAAUACAGAGAAAAUUAGCAUGGCCUCUGCACCAGGAAAAAAUGCAGAUUCAUAAAAUGUUCCAUAUUUUG
ensembl:snRNA U6 U6 spliceosomal RNA